UACAGAGGGUGCGAGCGUUGUUCGGAAUUAUUGGGCGUAAAGCGCUUGUAGGCGGCACGUCAAGUCGCGUGUGAAAUCCCCAGGCUUAACCUGGGAAGUGCGCGCGAAACUGACGAGCUUGAGUGCCGGAGAGGGUCGCGGAAUUCCCGGUGUAGAGGUGAAAUUCGUAGAUAUCGGGAGGAACACCAGUGGCGAAGGCGGCGACCUGGACGGACACUGACGCUGAGACGCGAAAGCCAGGGGAGCGAACGGG
rnacentral:rRNA from 1 species